rnacentral:rRNA from 1 species
UACGAAGGGAGCUAGCGUUGUUCGGAAUUACUGGGCGUAAAGGGCGCGUAGGCGGUACCAUAAGUCAGAUGUGAAAGCCCUGGGCUUAACCUAGGAGGUGCAUUUGAUACUGUGGAACUAGAGAUCGGGAGAGGAAAGUGGAAUUACGAGUGGAGAGGUGAAAUUCGUAGAUAUUCGUAAGAACACCAGUGGCGAAGGCGACUUUCUGGCCCGAUACUGACGCUAAGGCGCGAAAGCGUGGGGAGCAAACAGG